rnacentral:rRNA from 1 species
CCCAAACUGGGAUUAGAUACCCCACUAUGCUUAGCCCUAAACCUAGAUAGUUAGCUCAAACAAAACUAUCCGCCAGAGAACUACUAGCAACAGCUUAAAACUCAAAGGACUUGGCGGUGCUUUAUAUCCCUCUAGAGGAGCCUGUUCUAUAAUCGAUAAACCCCGAUAAACCUCACCAUCUCUUGCUAAUUCAGCCUAUAUACCGCCAUCUUCAGCAA